AUGUAUUAGGAUCCAAUUAACUUGAGGAAAACGUUUUCUUUUGCUUAUACAAAACUUGGGUAAGGUCGUGUGUAUGAAAUUAGAACUUGAAAUUGUGGACAUUGGAGGCCUUGGAUUGGUGUCAAUUCUUGGUGAUUUUGUGAAUUGUGGAGCUGUGUAUGUGUGGCUUAAGUGUUGCCUUGGACCAAAUGUGGAAAUCGGCCAAGAUGCAGGUCGAGAGGCUCCUCACUAGGUGUCUGGAUUCCUGAAGCGGAGUGGUCCCUGGGUUCUUUUGAUUAUCAGUUUAUGUACAUAUGUGCUUAGCUUUCUCUCCAAAAAACUUGUUUAUUUUGUCCAUCUUAGAGGUUUAAGGAGAGUUAAGGCCUUAUUUCUGUAUUUUGGGUAUUUUGGGAUACUUGUAUAUGUAUGUAAA